rnacentral:rRNA from 1 species
UACGUAGGGGGCAAGCGUUGUCCGGAAUCAUUGGGCGUAAAGAGCGUGUAGGCGGCCCGGUAAGUCCGCUGUGAAAGUCCAGGGCUCAACCCUGGGAUGCCGGUGGAUACUGUCGGGCUCGAGUCCGGAAGAGGAGAGUGGAAUUCCCGGUGUAGCGGUGAAAUGCGCAGAUAUCGGGAAGAACACCCGUGGCGAAGGCGGCUCUCUGGGACGGUACUGACGCUGAGACGCGAAAGCGUGGGGAGCGAACAGG